ensembl:lncRNA
CUUGGAACAUUAUAAAGGUAGACUAAAAUACAUUUCCAUGCAUUUAACCCAGAAAUGUCAAUUACCUCUGAUAGAAGUGGUUGAUUCAAUGAAAAUGCAAUACGUGGACACCUGGAUGUCACCCAUCUGCUUCCAAAAUUAUGGGCAUUGAUAUGAUGUUGGUCGUCCUUUUGCUGAUUUACAGCCUCCGGUCUUCCAAGCCUUUCCACUAAAACAUAGCUGCAGUGGUUUGCACCUGGCUCACAGUCGACGAUGUUCCAAAUCAUCCCAACACUGUUCGAUGGAGUUGAGGUAAAGGCUCUGCAGGCCAGUAAACAAGCGGUUUUUUGCAUGCUGGGAACCUAAUCAAAUUGUUAAAAGGAGCCAUUAAUUUGGAUCCAUGAUUCCCAAACUUUUUUUUUGACCUCAAAGGAAAAAUUAUUUGCAAAUGCUUACAAACAUUAUUCACUAAAAUUUUAUAUCUGCACUGCAGAAACAACAAAUAGUAGUGAGCACAUUUAACAAUUAGGACAGGAAAUACGUAACCUAUUUGAAUGUGCAUUUCACACACAUGUAACAUCAUUUUAGAGGUACUUAGCUUCCAAAGGGGGUUUGCAACUUGGCAGUGAGUGUUGCCAUGGAGGCAAAUUCAAAAACAGAGUAACAACGCCGAGUGCUGUGGCUGCCUCCGGAGAAGGACGUGAGGAUCCCUCAGCUUGCUUCGGCCUGCUUCGUCACAAACUUGUGUGGUUAGUCUCACGACGCCACACCUCCAAUCUCAUCUGGCCUCCUUGGCGGUGUGGAAACUUGCGUAUUUAAAAAAAGUUAGAUUUAGAUUGGAUAUUACAUGAAUGAAUCUGAUGAGGGAAGCCUGAUGAGCCUGGCUUGUGUCCUGUCAAGUUACUGAUUCCACUGGUCUUAUGCUCACUUUUGACCUGUUCCCCCCGGGACCUACCCAGCUUUGCAUGUUCUCUUGGAUUAUUCUCGAGAGUCUCCCCUCCUUAUCCAUCAUUGUUCCAAGAUUAGUAAACAAAAAAAACUCUCAUUAAGAAUUGUUUGAAUGUCGUCUCAAUGUCAAGUAAACAUUGGUAAUUGUAACAGAUUGUUUAAAUGAUGGAUGACCACAAAAUGAUCUGUAGGAUUAAAUCAUUUCCCCUCAUCUGUAGAGUAUAAUAAGAUUUUUUGUAGAUCCCUCAAGAUAAGAGGAUUAUAGGUGAG